rnacentral:lncRNA from 1 species
AUGUCCCCAAGCCCGACCUCCGCAGCCACGCCACCCACCCAGCCUGAAGUGACAACAGGCACAUCGCUGGGGACCAGCGUGUCCCCAGCUCCGAGCACCAGCUCGGCAGGAGCUGCACCAAGCACGCCCCCCACCCUCCCCUCCACUUCUCUCCCCUCCACCUCGGUGGUCACCACGAGCACCAGCAAAGGGCCAGCGGCGACCACAGCGCUCAGCACCACCCCCCCGGGGAGCAGCAGUCCUGAUCCCAUCACACCAACCGAGCCCAACACAACCCCGCCGGACCCCACAACGCCUCUGGACACCGCAACCCCCUCCCACCCCAGCACCGGGGACCCUGGGAGCAAUUCAACCCCCAGCCAGCCCCGAGGGACCACCAACGGGACCGCGGGGACACCCCCGGACACCCCCCAGAGCCCCGCUGCCAGCACCGCAGAGACCACGGCGCUGCCGCCCACCACCGCCUCCACCGGCACAGCCUCCAGCCCUGAAAAAGGAUCCUCCACUCCCGAGACACCCAGCACACCCCCGGGGAGCAGCCGUCCCUCUCCUCCCACCACAGCCCCACACACGGGUACAUCAGCCGAGCCCCCGACAUCCCCUCUGGACACCACAGCCCCGCACCCCACCAGCUCUGGGGUGCCCGGGAGCACCCCAAAUCCCAGCCAGACACUGGGGACCACAAACGGGACCAGCCCUGGUGCCUCCACCCUGACCACGGGGACAUCCCCGGACACCCAGGCGUCACCCCCCAGCCCCGGUGCCACCACGGGCACCUCCCCUGCCACCAACUCAACCCAGAGCCCAAACAACAUCUCCAGCACCUCCACGGCCCAGCCGACGGCAGAGCCCACCUGCCCCGGCAUCAUGAGCCCAGGCGCGGAGUCCCACAUCUUCCUGUCCGUGCGCCUGGCCGGCCCCCUGGACCCUGGGAACAAAACCAUGCAGGACCUGAUCCUGUCCGAGGUGAGGUGUGCCCGCAGCCCUUCCCAAGGGGCUCUCCCCUU